GAUGAACGCUGGCGGCGUGCCUAACUCAUGCAAGUCGAACGGAGUUAUAUGAAGUUUUCGGACGGAUUAUAACUUAGUGGCGGACGGGUGAGUAACGCGUGGGUAACCUGCCUCAUACAGGGGGAUAACAGUUGGAAACGGCUGCUAAAACCGCAUAACAUUGCGACGUCGCAUGACGAUGCAAUUAAAUAUUUAUAGGUAUGAGAUGGGCCCGCGUCUGAUUAGCUAGUUGGUGGGGUAAUGGCCUACCAAGGCGACGAUCAGUAGCCGGCUUGAGAGAGUGACCGGCCACAUUGGGACUGAGACACGGCCCAAACUCCUACGGGAAGCAGCAGUGGGGAAUAUUGCACAAUGGGGGAAACCCUGAUGCAGCGACGCCGCGUGAGUGAAGAAGUAUUUCGGUAUGUAAAGCUCUAUCAGCAGGGAAGAUUAUGACGGUACCUGACUAAGAAGCCCCGGCUAACUACGUGCCAGCCGCCGCGGUAA
rnacentral:rRNA from 1 species